GCCGGGUAGCUAUGUACGGAAGGGAUAACCGCUGAAAGCAUCUAAGCGGGAAGCCUGUCCCAAGAUGAGGUUUCACUGGACUUCGAGUCCCGGUAGGGCCCUGGAAGAAUACCAGGUUGAUAGGCUGGAUGUGGACGCUCAGCAAUGAGUGAAGCUAACCAGUACUAAUUGCCCGUGAGGCUUGACCAU
rnacentral:rRNA from 1 species